rnacentral:lncRNA from 1 species
GGGAUUUGAACUUCGACAGUUGGGUUUGGUGACAGACCUCUUUACUCCUGAGCCGUCUCACGAGCCUAAUAUUGUCUUUUGAUGAGAAAGGAUGGUACUUGCCAGUCUUGCACUUUUGGCCAAGCCUAGCCUUUGCCUCCGUCUGUUAGAGCUUGAGUAAGAUUGAUGGCUUCCCAUGCUGCUCCUCCCUUCAGCGGUUCUACUUCUUCACAGCCGAGCACGGCAUCUGCUUCGCGAAGGGCAUCUCAGCAUUUUUAUUUCUCUUCCUGGACGGUUUGCAUUAUGGGUCUGUAGUUGUAUUGAAGACAAACUCUCAUCCUACUAGGAAGCCUCAAUACAGGUCUCGCCGGAUACAGCCUCAGGCUGUUGUGCCAGGACGCGUUUAAAUUUGAUCUUAUUUAUUGACAGCCAGGUGAGAGCUGUUCUCAGGGAAUCUGAUUGACAAGUCCUGGCUUGUAUCAGUUACUUUCCUAAAAGUUGCUAAGGUAAAAUAACCACGACCGAAAGCAGCUUAAGGAAGAAAGAGUUCAUUCUGGUUUAUUGUUCCAAGGAAAAGUCCACAGAGGGCGGCCUGAGCAGGAAGCUGAGAGACCUGGAGAGGGUGAGGCAUUAAACCCCAGUCUGUUAUGUCCGUCCUCCAGCAGGCUGUGGGUAUCCUCGUGGGUCAAUAACCUUCCCAAACAACGCCACUGACUGGGCACCAAGCUCCCUGAUAUGUCACCCUAUUGGGGACAUUCCUCAUUCCAGCCACGACACCGCUCUCAUCUGGCUGAUGUCCCAGUGCACGUUGGGUUGUGGAGACCGAGAAUCUAUGCUAUGGAGAUGACAGCGUGGCAAGAGGCUAGACACCGAGGGCUGCUGGGAUUUCUAUUUCAGACAGACAGAGCCGGGACCACCUUUCUGAGAAAGUAUGAUCUUGAGGCCUAUACAGAGGUGUAGAACAGGCUUGUUCCCCACCAUUUCACACUGGACUCUGGAGAAGGAACAUUCCAGGCUGGAGGAACCGUAACUAAUGGAAAGGACGGAAGGGAGCGGGACGGGGCCACGGGCAGGAGGGAGGCUCGACCACCAAACAAGCCCCUCCACUGCUCCUCAGAGAUGGCUAGACGCAUUUUGCAGAGAAGAUGGGAAAUGAGGAUGCGUCUGUUACUUUGAUUACAAUUCCUUUCAUAUUAUAAUUAACUGCUAACUGUAAUUAUAGGACUUCCUCUAAUUUAGUUUAGCGCUCUGGGGACCUCUAUUAGCCUAUAUCCCAAUCAAUUUCACAGCCAUUAAGGGAGAAAUGCCAUGCUCCUGUUGAAUUUUAAAUCCAGUGGGAGUCUGUUUCUCCUGUCUGCCAGCCGGCCUGCCUGUCUCACAGAUCCGAGGCGGUCGUACUACGUCCAACCAGUUUAUGCCCGACAUGCUGUCUCAUGUAUGUUGCAUGUUGGUUCCUAAUUAGGGCAGAGUUUCAUAGAUACCUGUUAAUGAAUCCCAUGCCCUUCUUUAGUAACCUCCCGAGUCAGUGCAACAACAAUUUUUACCUAACAGCCAAGGGAGCGCCCAUGUCUCCUCCCCAGAAUUGAUGUUGAAGCACGUGUUUAUUCUGUCUGGCACCUUGUACCACCCUCAUGGCCUCUGCUAAUGUUCAUUUAUUUUUUUCUCAAGUGGUCCCGAUAUUAUGUUCUCCUGCUGUGGGGGACCCUGGGCUGGGCCUCCUUUGUGCCUCUUUGGCAUAUCUGAUGGUUUGCUGAGUUUGGGUACCCUCUGCCUGAGGGCUCCUUUUGCUCAGUUUUGCAUACUGACGCCUGAAAGUGACCAUGCUCACCUCUUUGCUCCUGCGGACCCCAGGAGACAGUGGUUGCCUGGAGACAAGCGGGAGCCAAGUAUUACCUCACUAAAAAUGGCCUGGCUAACUGCGGCGUCAUCUCUAGACGGGAGCCAUGUUGCCCAUGUUGAGUAACACCUGUAGCAGGUGAUAGGUAGCCCAACUCAGAAGAAGCCAGGACGUCUGAACAGGGAGGAGGCGGCUGGAGUGGGCCUGGUGAGCCAAUACACUCACACAGCACGUUUAGAGGAGGGUUUGGGUCAUCUUAAGCUGAGAGUUCCCCUAUCCCCUCUGACCUAUGACCCCUGCUACCUACUUCCUGUGUCAGAGCACUACCAUUGUUAACUCUUCUUUUCACCCAGAGGUCACAGUUCACACUGAGGUCCUCUCACGGUGAUGGGACUUAGGGGGGAGUCACCAUCAUACAAAUGACCCCCAACUUACCGUGGUUUGAUUUAGGGUUUUUUGGUUUGGUUUUUUUUUUUUUUUACCUUUUGGAUGGUGUGAGAGUGAUUUGUACUUAGUAAAAACAAUUUCAGAUUUCAGCUUUGCAUCUUUUUUCCCAGGCUGCCAUGCCACACCCAUGCCACUGGUGGUGCUGAGGAGCAGCAGAGCCUUGUGGAAUAGAUUGCAUGGGCUCUUUAAUAAUCUUAUUAUAACCUGUGCUGUGCUGGGUGACGUGCCCUGCUCUAGACGGAGGAUGUAAGCUGCAGGAGCAUGGUUGAUUGACGUAGCGUCGAGUGGCAUGGGUGUGAUUAGUGUGCUUGGAGCUCAUGGUGAUGUCAGUUUCUGAAGAGGUUUUUUAGGAUGUAAGCUCACUAUAAGCCAGAGAGCACCUGAGGUAUGAGGAAUUAAUUUCCCUACUCUAAAAGUUCUCCGUGCUCCCUAAAAGUCCUCCGUGCUCCACCUACGCACUGCUUGCCUGCUGCCAAUGUUACUCUCUGGCCUCUUAGUGUUUUUGUCAUUUGACUUUUACACACCAUAGACUUGGAAUUGUAUGACACAAAGCUUUCUUCCAGCAAUGUACCCUGAACAUUCUUCCAUGUUUUUCUGUGGCAUUCAUUUUUGGGUCUGAAUAAUAUUAUGUUUGUUGUAUGAUGUACACGGUUCAUUUGUCUUGUCUGAGCUGUUUAUGUUAUAGGCGUGCACUACCAUGCCUGGGUCCUGAAGGACAUUGCAGUUGCUUCCAAGUUUGUAAAAUUAUGAAUAAGGCUGCUUUAAGCAUUCAUUUUUUUAGAGUUUUGAAUGAACAUGAUAUAAAGAUAUAUUUGUAUAUGAUAUAUAUUUUAUAAGGGGUUUUCCCCUUCUGAUUACGAGAAAGCGUAUGUUCAAAUGUAUAACAUUUGGAAAACAUAAAAAGAGGAAUUUUUAAAC